GCGGUAGGAACAGGAAUGGCGGUUGUCGUAUGAUUAUCGUGAGCAAUAUUUUGAUUUUUAAAACGCUCACGGGCUCGGCUUAAUAGCUCUUCUUGUUGUCUCAAUAACUCAUCUCUUGAUACACCGGAUUGUUCAAAUUUGCUACUUUUCUUCUCACGAUUCUUUUGUUGUUCUUUAUGCUCUGCCGCCACUUCCAAAGCUUCAGCAAUAUAUUCCUUGAAUUCCAAAUUCUCUAAAGCUUUAAUAAUGUGUUCAGCGGCUAUAGUUUUUUUUGCCUCCUUUUCGCAUAUUUCAUUAGCUUCACUAGAAACAAGAUGUAUGAACUCCACACAGCACUCUAUCAGUAAAUCUCUAGCUUCCUUCGUAAAAGUCAAGUCCACUGGAAGUAUGUCGGAAACCAUUUUCUGAACGGUGGCUACACAUUAUUAGUAAAUAUGGAUUGCAAUUCUUUUACCUUUGGGAAGGGACAAUUCAUCGUCCGCGAAACCAUCAUUCAUUAUGCAAAAUUUUUAUUCCUAAUUUCGUUCGUUUCAGUAAUGCAAAACGAUUUUAGAGAAUGCAGGUUUGUGUAAUACUCAAACUAGUAUAGAUUCGUUGCAUGCUUUGUUAUACAUACACAUAUAUAUAUUUUCGUCCAAGAAGAUAUUCGUAGAGUACACUGGAAUGCAGUAUUGGUAGACUCGUUCUAUUCAGCAAAGAAUGACAAAAAUGAUUUUAUAAGUAUAUUAGACGGCAAUUUCACAACUCGAUUAUACUUGCAGAAUAAUUUAAAAAAGACAUGGAUUUGAUUACGGCUUAUUCUUGUGCUUUGAAAAUCCAAAAUUACGACAGGGUAUCAGAGCACUACAAAAUAAAUGAAAAAAAAUUUAAUGAAUUAUUUUCGAGCAAUUCCGGCUAAUUAAACCCGAUACUCUGAAGUUCUCAUAGAAUGAUCAGCAUAUUG